GGUGCAAAUGAUGCAUGUUAGCGACCAAAGCCUGAUUUUUGCUGAUUAGUCAUAAUUAACUGACUGCACC
ensembl:snoRNA SNORD4B small nucleolar RNA, C/D box 4B